UACAGAGGGGGCAAGCGUUGUUCGGAAUUACUGGGCGUAAAGCGCAUGUAGGCGGCAGCGCAAGUCGGGCGUGAAAUCCCACGGCUCAACCGUGGAAGUGCACUCGAAACUGCGCAGCUAGAGUCCUGGAGAGGAAGGUGGAAUGCUUGGUGUAGAGGUGAAAUUCGUAGAUAUCAAGCGGAACACCGGUGGCGAAGGCGGCCUUCUGGACAGUGACUGACGCUGAGAUGCGAAAGCGUGGGGAGCAAACAGG
rnacentral:rRNA from 1 species